rnacentral:rRNA from 1 species
UACGUAGGCAGCGAGCGUUGUUCGGAGUUACUGGGCGUAAAGGGUGCGUAGGCGGUUGUUUAAGUCUGAUGUGAAAUCUCACAGCUUAACUGUGAAACUGCAUUGGAUACUAUCCGGCUAGAGGAAUGGAGGGGAGACUGGAAUACUUGGUGUAGCAGUGAAAUGCGUAGAUAUCAAGUGGAACACCAGUGGCGAAGGCGAGUCUCUGGACAUUUCCUGACGCUGAGGCACGAAAGCCAGGGGAGCAAACGGG